rnacentral:rRNA from 1 species
GAGUUUGAUCCUGGCUCAGAUUGAACGCUGGCGGCAUGCCUUACACAUGCAAGUCGAACGGUAACAGGUCUUCGGAUGCUGACGAGUGGCGAACGGGUGAGUAAUACAUCGGAACGUGCCCAAUCGUGGGGGAUAACGCAGCGAAAGCUGUGCUAAUACCGCAUAAGAUCUACGGAUGAAAGCGGGGGAUCGCAAGACCUCGCGCGAGUGGAGCGGCCGAUGGCAGAUUAGGUAGUUGGUGAGGUAAAGGCUCACCAAGCCUGCGAUCUGUAGCUGGUCUGAGAGGACGACCAGCCACACUGGAACUGAGACACGGUCCAGACUCCUACGGGAGGCAGCAGUGGGGAAUUUUGGACAAUGGGCGCAAGCCUGAUCCAGCAAUGCCGCGUGCAGGAUGAAGGCCUUCGGGUUGUAAACUGCUUUUGUACGGAACGAAAAGGUCCUUUCUAAUACAAGGGGCCCAUGACGGUACCGUAAGAAUAAGCACCGGC